rnacentral:lncRNA from 1 species
UCUCCUUUAAACAUUUUUACCAAACAUCAAAUUCAUAUCGUUUAAUAUUCACACGAUAGACUCAUACAAUUAUAGCAAAAAAAGUGAGACAUUCUCAUAACACUAUAAAUAUCAUUUCAUAAUCAUGAUAUAGUUAUCAGCUGAUAUCUAGAUCAUCAUCUCAUCACAUUACAUGUAAUACACCAAAAAUGUACCCUAUGACUAAAAUCUGAAAUCUUUCCCUCGGGCCAAACACUUUCGCCAUGGACCUUUGGCUCCCUCAGUGAACGAAAGUGGAUCUUAAAGACCUCUAAUAAUCAAUUCUGGAACACGGUCAAGGUCCUUCUGUGAGCUAUAUGUACACGAUCAAGACCAAUAUCAGGUCAAGAACCCUCCGUAUAGGAUAGAACAUGGCCAAUGCCCCUCUGUGAACUAGAAGAAAUAUAUAAUCAAUGGUACUUUUUUGGCCGAUUUGUAUAUCACAUUUGUCUCACAUACUAAGUUAUAAAUGUAUCAUAAGUAAUUUUUGAAAUUUCACACCUGUCAUAAUAAAAGAGAUUUCUGUAAUAAUCAUAAAAUCGAACUCAUAAUUGCACACGCUUUACUAAUAUACUUGAUUUAUAUAUACUUUAAAAAUAUUUAAAUUUUUACACUCACCAAGUCAUGGUCGAUCAUGGUUUCAAUCUUCUCGUCACCACUUCAACUUCAAAUAUCAAGUAUAAUAUCACACACUCGCUCUAGUAAAUCAUAUCCCCUCAGAAAGGUGCUUUGAGUAUUUCCUACCAUUAGAAAUAUUAAUUUGCCAAUAGGAGCUUGAUAUAUUUUAUUUUCAAGCUCAUAAUCUCAAUUAAGGUCGCUCACAACAUAUACUCGUUUAUAUGAAUUAUUUUAACAACAAAAUCCCAACUAUUUAACACUUAAUUUGGUUCCAAUACUAAAAAUUCACGAAAACUGGAUGUUUGACAAAACUAGCACUAUAAUUCCAGAAUACUGAAAACUACCACCAAUGUCUGUAUAUUAAAAUCUGUCACCGAAAAUAUUGACAGAAAUAGCACUUUUCUUGGCAGAAUUUAACAAAUAGCACCAAUACUACAGUAGCUCAAAAAUUGCUUUACAAAGAAAGGAGAAUUCCCAUCUCAAAUCCUUAAUUUAAGUAUUUUUAGCAUCAUAUAAUUACAAGAAACUCAAAAUAUAUCUUUAUCUUACAAAUCCAUUUCAAAAUUCCACUUUUUUCAACUCCAAUUUUCAAAUAAACAUUUCCUUGCUAUAUUCUUGUUGAAAACCUCGAAUACACAUCAAUAAUACCUAAUUCUUGGUAACUUCAAAGUUUUAAAUAUAAAUACCAUAAACCCUAAAGGACAUUAUUUCACAUUCUUAUGUUUACCUCUCUAAAUUAAAGGAAAAAUUUAAGAAAUUGAGAACCUAACCUUGUAAAAUUGGAACCUAUAUCUUCCUUCUUUUUCUCUUCCAUUUCCUUCCUUCCUUCCUUCCUUUUCCUUUUUUCUUUCCUUUUUUUUUUUUUCUCUAUUCUCGGCUUCUCCCUACCUAUGUGUAUGUAUUUGUGUGAAAUGGAUUUAUA